rnacentral:rRNA from 1 species
AGCCCUUCGGGGUGAGUACAGUGGCGAACGGGUGAGUAACACGUGGGCAACUUAUCCCUUGUGGGGGGAUAACCGGGGGAAACCCCGGCUAAUACCCCGUAAGCUUGCCGGGCCGCAUGGUCCGGCAAGGAGAGGUAGCUUCGGCCAUCCGGCAGGGGAGAGGCCCGCGGUACAUUAGCUAGUUGGUGGGGUAACGGCUCACCAAGGCGACGAUGUAUAGCUGGUCUGAGAGGAUGAUCAGCCACACUGGGACUGAGACACGGCCCAGACUCCUACGGGAGGCAGCAGCCAGGAAUCUUGCGCAAUGGGCGAAAGCCUGACGCAGCAACACCGUGUGGGCGAGGAAGGUCUUCGGAUCGUAAAGCCCUGUUGUUGGGGACGAAGGGCGAAGGGCUAAUAGCCCCUAGCCUGACGGUACCCU